rnacentral:lncRNA from 1 species
UGCAUCGCUAGUAUUGAAUAUGUUUGUUUUUUUUCCUCUCUCCCUGUGUGUGUGGGUGUGUGUGGCUGCAGCACGAGCCGGUGACUCUAACUACGACAACAGCGGUGGUGGAGAACAAGGAGACAUGAGCCAGCAGUGGCUGAAGCUCCUGGACUUUCUAGGAGAUAACAUUCCAGAAGGCCUCCUUGCCUGGAUUGCCAACUCUAAACAUGUAGUCAUUGCCCUUCUUGAAAGGGUGCUGGAGCUCCUGGAUCUAGCGGAAGGGGAGAAGCGAUCAUAG